rnacentral:misc_RNA from 1 species
UUUCGGUAUCCUGUGUUGCUUACCGACGUGAUGGAAUUCGAUCGUACCGUUGCCCCUCUCCGCCCGAUGCCCUCUAUGGGGUGUGGGGUGGACGCUAGGCACGCUACGUGUUCCUCGCAUGCCUUGCUUUGUUGUGGGGCUGUUGAGGCCCACGGAGCUAUUGCCCGUUCUUUCGGAUGCGGAAUGUCAUGCGUGGGUGCGGGGUUUUCACCUCUGCUUGCCCAAGCUAUGCAUUUGUCCCUUGACACGAACGACUGUCGCGACCGUCUUGAUCCCGUUGUGGCCUACGUGCUGCACAUCGGUGCUCAUGCGGUCGUCGGCGUCGUCGAGGAAUGCUACCUGGUUGAUCCUGCCAGUAGUCAUUGCUUGUCUCA